CCUACGGGAGUCUGCAGUGAGGAAUAUUGGUCAAUGGACGAGAGUCUGAACCAGCCAAGUAGCGUGAAGGAUGACUGCCCUAUGGGUUGUAAACUUCUUUUAUAUGGGAAUAAAAUGUGCCACGUGUGGGAUUUUGUAUGUACCAUAUGAAUAAGGAUCGGCUAGCACCGUGCCAGCAGCCGCGGUAAUACGGAGGAUCCGAGCGUUAUCCGGAUUUAUUGGGUUUAAAGGGAGCGUAGGUGGAAUGUUAAGUCUGUUGUGAAAGUUUGGGGCUCAACCGUAAAAUUGCAGUUGAAACUGGCAGUCUUGAGUACAGUAGAGGUGGGCGGAAUUCGUGGUGUAGCGGUGAAAUGCUUAGAUAUCACGAAGAACUCCGAUUGCGAAGGCAGCUCACUGGACUGCAACUGACACUGAGGCUCGAAAGUGUGGGUAGCAAACAGGAUUAGAUACCCCUGUAGUC
rnacentral:rRNA from 1 species